rnacentral:misc_RNA from 1 species
AGCAGCCGCGGUAAUUCCAGCUCCAAUAGCGUAUAUUAAAGUUGUUGCAGUUAAAAAGCUCGUAGUUGAAUUUCGGGAUCAAUUAGUCGGUCGUGCCUCUGGUACGUACUGGUUUUAUUGGUUCCUCCCUUCUGACGAAACAUGAUGUCAUUAAUUUGGUGUCGUGGAGAAUCAGGACUGUUACCUUGAAAAAUUAGAGUGUUUAUAGCAGGCUAACGCUUGAAUACAUUAGCAUGGAAUAAUGAAAUAGGACGUUCGACCCUAUUUUGUUGGUUUCUAGGAUCGACGUAAUGAUUAAUAGGGAUAGUUGGGGGCAUUAGUAUUCAAUUGUCAGAGGUGAAAUUCUUGGAUUUAUUGAAGACUAACUACUGCGAAAGCAUUUGCCAAGGAUGUUUUCAUUAAUCAAGAACGAAAGUUAGGGGAUCGAAGACGAUCAGAUACCGUCGUAGUCUUAACCAUAAACUAUGCCGA